rnacentral:snRNA from 1 species
CAACUCUGGUUUCUCUUCAAUCACGCACAAGUUUUUCGCCUUUUACUAAGACUUCCGUGGAGAGCACGCUUACGAGUUCAACGUAUUUUUGGACGGGCUUUGCUCCCGGCAGAGCC